GGCCGGGAGGUUAGUGGGUUAGAAUGCCAGCCCGUCACGCUGGGGGGCGGGGGUUCGAGCCCCCUCCCGGGCGCCA
rnacentral:tRNA from 1 species